AUCCUGAAAGAAAGUCAGAGAGACCUGAACUGUUGGCACUGCGGGGCUCGAGCUGCUGCAGCUGCUGCCACCACCAGUCUGGACACCCAGUUCCUCACCAUGACUGAUCAACAGGAAUUGAAAACAGGAUUAUUUCUGGAAUAAACACUGCUACCAAUGGGAGUGGAAGAGAGGUGUCACUGCUGGACCAAAGCCAGGGUACUCCUGAAAGCCUUUGUUCCCAGGUUCAGAAAACACCCCAGAGCCCCACUCCCCCAGAGGCAGAACUCCAUUUGAUUCACUGAGCUGCCUUUUGCAGAGAAAUGAUAUCUUGAAGGAAGGGCAGAAAGUCUGAUAUUUAAGAAUCUUCAUGUGUACAUUGUGUCUAGUACUUCCCACAGGAUGCCUGAUGUUCUGUUCUGCAGUGCUGGAGAGGAAUAAAAGCCGAUUUGCUUACAUGUCUUCAUUCCCUCAUCACCCCAGUCAAGAUUCUAGGACUCAAGCAUCGCAAGUUUAUUGUCAAGAGACUGUUCCUACGGGGAUUAGCCAAACCUGGUUCUUUGUUAAGCUUUAUAUAGUAACCCUGCCUCCUUGUCUAUCUGUAUGUAAUAACCCUGCCUCCUUGCCUAUCUGUACAUAAUGACCCUGCCCCCUUGUCUAUCUGUAUGAAUGACCCUGCCCCCUUGUCUAUCUGUAUGAAUGACCCUGCUUCCUUGUCUAUCUGUAUGUAAUAACCCUG